AAAGUGGAAACUCACCCAGUGGUGGAUUCACGCAGAAAAGCAGACAUUUUUAUCUGUACUUUGGUCCCUUGCAGAGCUCAUCUUUUUUCUUCUGUGAAGUUGAUGAUGACGUUUCUGAGCACGAGACUUCCCUUGAUCUCAGCAAUCCAGGGACAUCUGCUGUGCUUUCUGUGUCUGAGGGUGCUGUGGUAUUGUUUGUUUCUUGGCAUGUCUGAAAGAUUUCCUGGUUUUAGACUUAACUGUUAUCCUGUCACAAAAUGGAGCUUUAUAUUCUGACUGCCCUAGCCUCUCAGAUCUGUGCUGACUUGCAGGAUAUUUUGAGGCUUAAGCACUAAGGUGUCCUGGAUCUUCAACUACGCAGUCUUUCUGGAGCAUUUACUGUAUGGGUUUGUGAUAUCAUAGAACGUCUCAGGUUGGAAGGGAUAAUCCAAUUCCAACUCCCUGUCAUUGGCAGGGCUGCCACCCAGCAGCUCAGAUUUGAACAUGGAAUUCAACCCAUCAGACCAUCCACGGGCCAGUACGAUAUUUCUCAGUAAAUCUCAAACAGAUGUGAGAGAAAAACGCAAGAGUCUCUAUAUAAACCACGUAAGUGAAAAUGCCUCGCU